rnacentral:rRNA from 1 species
CAGUAGCCGCGGGAAAACGUAGGGUGCGAGCGUUAAUCGGAAUUACUGGGCGUAAAGCGUGCGCAGGCGGUUCGUUAAGACAGAUGUGAAAUCCCCGGGCUUAACCUGGGAACUGCAUUUGUGACUGGCGAGCUAGAGUAUGGCAGAGGGUGGUAGAAUUCCACGUGUAGCAGUGAAAUGCGUAGAGAUGUGGAGGAAUACCGAUGGCGAAGGCAGCCCCCUGGGCCAAUACUGACGCUCAUGCACGAAAGCAUGGGGAGCAAACAGGAUUAGAUACCCGCGUAGUCCCUGUCUCUUAUAC